rnacentral:piRNA from 1 species
UAGAUGUGGCCUGAAGAUGAUUUUCCGC